rnacentral:rRNA from 1 species
GACGAACGCUGGCGGCGUGCUUAACACAUGCAAGUCGAACGGAAAGGCCCUGCUUUUGUGGGGUGCUCGAGUGGCGAACGGGUGAGUAACACGUGAGUAACCUGCCCUUGACUUUGGGAUAACUUCAGGAAACUGGGGCUAAUACCGGAUAGGAGCUCCUGCUGCAUGGUGGGGGUUGGAAAGUUUCGGCGGUUGGGGAUGGACUCGCGGCUUAUCAGCUUGUUGGUGGGGUAGUGGCUUACCAAGGCUUUGACGGGUAGCCGGCCUGAGAGGGUGACCGGCCACAUUGGGACUGAGAUACGGCCCAGACCCCUACGGGAGGCAGCAGUGGGGAAUAUUGCACAAUGGGCGGAAGCCUGAUGCAGCAACGCCGCGUGCGGGAUGACGGCCUUCGGGUUGUAAACCGCUUUCGCCUGUGACGAAGCGUGAGUGACGGUAAUGGGUGAAGAAGCACCGGCUAACUACGUG